AUUGAACGCUGGCGGCAGGCCUAACACAUGCAAGUCGAGCGGAUGAAGGGAGCUUGCUCCUGGAUUCAGCGGCGGACGGGUGAGUAAUGCCUAGGAAUCUGCCUGGUAGUGGGGGAUAACGUCCGGAAACGGGCGCUAAUACCGCAUACGUCCUGAGGGAGAAAGUGGGGGAUCUUCGGACCUCACGCUCUCAGAUGAGCCUAGGUCGGAUUAGCUAGUUGGUGGGGUAAAGGCCUACCAAGGCGACGAUCCGUAACUGGUCUGAGAGGAUGAUCAGUCACACUGGAACUGAGACACGGUCCAGACUCCUACGGGAGGCAGCAGUGGGGAAUAUUGGACAAUGGGCGAAAGCCUGAUCCAGCCAUCCCGCGUGUGUGAAGAAGGUCUUCGGAUUGUAAAGCACUUUAAGUUGGGAGGAAGGGCAGUAAGUUAAUACCUUGCUGUUUUGACGUUACCAACAGAAUAAGCACCGGCUAACUUCGUG
rnacentral:rRNA from 1 species